GCCGCAGCGGCCGCGCCCGCUGUGUGUGAACGUGAAGCUCCUGGGCGCCCGAUUUUAUUUGUUCAUGAGAGACAGAGAGGCAGAGACACAGGCAGAGGGAGAAGAAGGCUCCCUGCAGGGAAAUGUGGGACUGGAUUGCGGAACUCCGGGAUCACGCCCUGAGCCCUGAGCGGAAGGCAGACGCUCAACGGCUGAGCCGCCCCGGGAUCCCAAAUCUAGUGAUGCGAUACUGUGCAUCUCGUCCCAACUCUGCAUUCAGGGAUGUCACAUUGGUUGCUUGAAACUACCUAUGGUGGAGGGGAAGCACCCAGAGGUUCAGAUGAAGCUAUUGUUCUGGCAUUCUAAAACUGCUGACAUUCUUUUCUGUGAAAAUAAUUGAAUCACCAAAUAUGAUGAAAGGUCCCUGAAAUAUCAAGAAACAGAUUUUCUGUGAAGUCGAUGAAUACAACUAUUAAUUAAAUGAAUUUUAAAGUCAAAGGAAAAUAUCUUGUAUUUUUUCAGCUUAGCUGUUUCUUCUCUGAGAAGUAUUUUAAACAUAAGUUACUGCAUUUUGACAAAGAUAUGAUACAUAGGGACCUUUUUGUGAAAGAACACAUUGAGAUGUGAAAAUAUAGAUAGUAUAAGCUUGCCUUGAAUGUCUUCUGAAAGAUUUUACUUCAUGAAUAUACACUAGAAAGGUCUCAUUCCAUUUUACAGUAUAUUUUUUGGUGAUGCUCCUCUCGUUAAGCUUUAAGGUACUACAGUAAUAAUAAAAUGCUAUAUUAUUUUA